rnacentral:rRNA from 1 species
AUACGAAAGACUCUCGGCAACGGAUAUCUUGGCUCUUGCAUCGAUGAAGAACGUAGCGAAAUGCGAUACUUGGUGUGAAUUGCAGAAUCCCGUGAACCAUCGAGUCUUUGAACGCAAGUUGCGCCCGAAGCCAUUAGGUUGAGGGCAUGCCUGCCUGGGUGUUGCAC